rnacentral:tRNA from 1 species
UCCCUGGAGGACUAGUGGUUAGGCCACAGUGCUCGCACCGCUGUAGCCCGGGUUAGAUUCCCGGCCAGGGAA